AAGAAAAAGAGAAAGAGAUUGGCCAGCUCCCAGCCCCCUGUUCCCACACGCAAGCCUCAUCUCUCUCCUCUCUCGUGAGCCUCUCUCCCCCGCGACUCCUCGCCGCCGCCGCCACUCACGCCGGCCGAUUCCGACGAUUCUCGACGACGGGUGGCAGACUGAUGGCCUCCUCUCGCUCUGAUCCUUCCUCUCAUCCCUCUAGAUCCGGCCUCUCGCGCUCGCUGCCGACCCUCAGCCAUGGCUAGGGUUUCGGGCGCGGCGUCCCCUUCGUCGCCGGCGAGGCUCUAGCGGCCUACGGUGGCUGGUCCCGCCCACGUGUGGCUCUGUCUCAUGGACGUUCCUCCCGCGCCCGACGGCCACGGGUGGUCAUGGUGACGGCCUCUUUAGCGGCGUCACCGGACUAGCUCCACGCACGGGGAAGGCAUCUCUGCCGGUUCCCCAAGGUGAGUGCGAGGCCGAAGAGAGACGACAUCGAGGACGACAUCCUAGGACAUCAUCACGCUCAACGGCUUCGCCCCCAUCAUCAUCGAGUUCUUCGGUUACGCGGCAAACAGGUGUGCGACCAACCGGCAACCAGCGGCGCCAUCUCUAUCCCCCGACACUGGAUAAUGGCAUGGCUAAUGGCCUACGCGCGGUGCGCCCGUCAGUGCCCGUGCUCCCAGGCCGGUGCGGCCGUCACAGCUGCUUGCUCAAGGCAGCGUGCUGACUGCCUGGUUCAUGACCUUGAUUUUUAAUAGAGAUAUAGUAGAAUCGGAUAUAGUGCGAGAAGCCAAUGGUAUUGCAAUGAGAUCUCAUAAUGUUAGUCUAUCCCUUGAGGAAGGGAGAAGGUUAGUCUUCUACACAAAUUAACAAACUGUUUUCGCCCACUUGUAUUCUGACUUUUGAAUGGUGCAUUUACAGAAGAUAGAAUUGUUUUAUCACAAUAUCUUAUCAUUUAUGAUUGCCUUUCUAUUAUUGGUUUGGGUAUUCAACUGAAACAAGACUAACAGUUGAUACAUGUCAUGGAACAAACAAUUUUGAUACUAUCUAUCUUUGGCAAUUGUUAUUUUCUUUGUAGGCAUUAUCCAUUAGUAGAUCACUGGUAAAUGUUAGAACUGCCGCAUUGAAUAAUAGCAACAGUGCUGGUGAACGUAUAAAGGAUCAAAUAGUGCAAACACUGACUGAAGCUGGUGGUCAGGUUGAUUAUGUUGAGGUAAGAUUGAAGCCUUUUUUUAUUCAAGUGCCCUUACUGUUUUCUAUAAAGAAAUUUAUUUAUUCAUUGAGUUUGUUAAUAUAUCUUUAAUUUAUUUACUGUCCUGCUGUAAUAUUGAUGUUGGCUGUGUCCUAGAGAACCUUUGAAAUCUACAUUUGUAGCUAUAGUUUGGCAAGAGCAGUUUGAUUAGCAGCCUAGAACCACUGAUCGCUCAUGGUGUGUGAGAUGAAUUGAAUUUGUUGCUUACUCUGGGAGGCUCACCGUGGUGUUCGGGCUGCUUGCCAUGCCGGCCGGAGCGCCCAUACACGUGUUCAAGAACCUCCGGUGUGCGGCGACUGCCAUGCCGCAAUCAAGAUGGUCGCCAAGGCGUACAACAGAGAGAUGAUACGGCCAUGCCAUGAAGGUUGCAGAGCAUAAUUGAUGCACUUGUUGCCGGAGUUGGCGUCCUUAUUUUCUCAAGCAAGCGUAGGUCCAGUGGCAUGGGAGCAACAUUGUUGAAGGGCCAAGGCUUCAUAGUUUGUACGCACAUCAAAGAGAAACUUGGAAUGUUUUUGUGCUCGGAUCUCGUUCGGAAGUACUACAUCAUGCAAUUCCCAAGUAAGUUUCUAUACUAUAUAAGAAAGUUGGUCUGAAAUAUUUGAGGCAUUGGCCUCUUCAGUGGCGUCACCCGACGAGCUCCACGCGCAGAGGAGGCGUCUCCACAGGUUCCCCGAGGAACAACAAGAUACAUUUGAAUUCGUUGCCGAUGAGUUAUCAAUUCUUCGAAAGAGACUACGAUCCAUGGUGGUUGUUGAGAAAUCCUCACUUUGGAACCGAAAAUCGAACUCGGUGCCCAGGCUCAUCUGCUCCCGCUUAGAAAAAAAAUCAAAAGAAAUACUAGGAAAAUUCAAAAAAAUCCAAUUUUUUUGGGUGGUAGAUAAUUUGAUGCGUGAGGUCCGUUCUAAAUUUCAACUAAUUUGGACAUCUGACAAGCUCUCCGCAAAAAAUACAAAUCGGGUCAAAACAGUGCGUGAACAGUAAGCAUUUUUACAUACCCCAAUUUUGUGUUUUUUGCCAGGAGCUGCUCAGAUGUCUAAAUGAGUUGAAAUUUGGAGCGGACCUCACGCAUCAAAUUAUCUACCACCCAAAAAAAACUUGGAAUUUUUUGAAUUUUUCUAGCAUUUGUUUUGAUUUCUUUUCUGAGCGGGAGCAGAUGAGCCUGGGCACCGAGUUUGAUUUUCACUCCGCGUCCCUUUGGAACUUGAUAAAAGAUGUAAAACCUUCGGAUCUAAGUGUAGUCCAGAGAGAUGUCCCUCCUGAAACUGUCAAUGUGAUGAAAAGGACUGUUUCAGGCAUAUUGGGUCUGCUUCCGUCUGAUAAGUGAGAGGGCGACCCCUGGCUCGGUACUUAUUUAUUUUGGUUAUUACCACAGGCAUGUAAAGCACCCCAACCGUUAGACAUUUAAUUCCAUCACAAAUAGUAAGAUCCACACGGAUAAUAUCUCAACUCAGUUAUUCAGUGAAUUGCUUUAAGAUUAAAUUGUGCCUCACCAAUAUUUCUAUGAGUCUACUAUUUAUACGCUCAUACACAGAAUAAUCGCAAAAGAUUGUGGCAUAAUUUUGGUGCAAACAAGUACCUUGAUCAACUUGGAAUGGCAUCGAAGUACAACACAAAAGUGUUCUGCAUGCAGACUCUCAUCGGAGGCAACUACGGUUUGCUUGACACGAAGACAUUCUUACCAAUCCUGAUUACUCAG